ACUCCUACGGGAGGCAGCAGUAGGGAAUCUUCCACAAUGGGCGCAAGCCUGAUGGAGCAACACCGCGUGAGUGAAGAAGGGUUUCGGCUCGUAAAGUUCUGUUGUUAAAGAAGAACACGUAUGAGAGUAACUGUUCAUACGUUGACGGUAUUUAACCAGAAAGUCACGGCUAACUACGUGCCAGCAGCCGCGGUAAUACGUAGGUGGCAAGCGUUAUUCGGAUUUAUUGGGCGUAAAGAGAGUGCAGGCGGUUUCUAAGUCUGAUGUGAAAGCCUUCGGCUUAACCGGAGAAGUGCAUCGGAAACUGGAUAACUUGAGUGCAGAAGAGGGUAGUGGAACUCCAUGUGUAGCGGUGGAAUGCGUAGAUAUAUGGAAGAACACCAGUGGCGAAGGCGGCUACCUGGUCUGCAACUGACGCUGAGACUCGAAAGCAUGGGUAGCGAACAGGAUUAGAUACCCCUGGUAGGAUAGCG
rnacentral:rRNA from 1 species